GGAAAAGUACCCAAGUGGCUCAAGGGGCUCCCCUGCUAAGGGAGUAGUGUGAGAUAAUCGCAGCGCGGGUUCAAAUCCCGCCUUUUCCGCCA
rnacentral:tRNA from 1 species